CCCUGCCCUUGCUUGGAAACCGGAACAAUGGGCUGCACCGGUGAGGCCCGCCGAUCACCAAAAUACGUAUGUAUCCUGCACGCAGACAGCCGUGCGUGCGUGACGGACAUAUAGGUGGACAAAGAAGCAUCACACACUCCUCACAGGGCCACACCGCCCCGGAAAGCUCCAAGCUUCCGCCGGCUGUGAAAAAAGACUGAGCUGGUGCUGCAUGCAUGUUCCAGAUCUAGGGAAGAUGAGCCAUUCCUCCUCUCAAGUAAGCUAGGACAGCAACAAUCCUUCUUGUCUCCACGUUUGAAUCUUUCAAUGUCUUCUUCAUUGAGAAAUUCAUCAUCUCCUUGUUCAAGUGUUGCAGAUUCAUGUUAUAGAACAUGUUUGUAUCCCAGUGAUUAGAUUCUCCUCCCCCAUCUUCACUUGCUUCCACUUCAUGAUGCAAGUUUGCCUCCAAUGUCUGCAAAAAUGAAGAAAAUUCCUUCAGAUUUUGUUAAUGAAAGAGGUGAAGAGAGAUGAUGGUGAGGAGUUUAUGUACGAAUGUUGCUGACCUGUUGAUUCCCUGAUCUCCCAUGGCCGCCUUUCCCUUUCCCAUGGGCGCCUCCCAGAUUUGUUCUAAGCUGUUAGGUGAGAUCUGUGUAGUGGUUGAUGGGGAUUGGCGUGUUUUGUUGUGCCUGGGAUCGGACAAAUCGGGUCAGAUGUUUACCCUACCUGUUUAGACUACCAGGAGUUCUUUUUUUUUUUUGCUAUCUACUGAUUUUCCUGCUUGCUCAUGUGUAAUGUGUUGAUUGGUCAGAAAAUU